GUGGCAACUUCUUUUCAGUUUUCACACUUGCUUCAACCGAAGACUUCCUGAACUCAGUCUUGUGAAUUGUAUAGGACUUCUCUUUUUCUAUCAAGAUUGAUAGAUUUUAUCUUGGUACAUCUUACUCCUAACAGUGAACCUAAAUCCACUGAAGCCAAUAUACACUGCAAGGAUCCAGAUGGUUAAGAGUCCAAGUUUAAGUGUAGUCAAACUCAGUAGCCUCACUGUGAAUAGCUAAUACACCAC
rnacentral:lncRNA from 1 species